rnacentral:rRNA from 1 species
GAUGAACGCUGGCGGCGUGCCUAAUACAUGCAAGUCGAGCGAACGGACGAGAAGCUUGCUUCUCUGAUGUUAGCGGCGGACGGGUGAGUAACACGUGGAUAACCUACCUAUAAGACUGGGAUAACUUCGGGAAACCGGAGCUAAUACCGGAUGAUAUUUUGAACCGCAUGGUUCAAAAGUGAAAGACGGUCUUGCUGGCACUUCUAGCUGGAUCCGCGCUGCAUUAGCUGGUUGGUAAGGUACGGCUUACCAAGGCAACGAUGCAUAGCCGACCUGAGAGGGUGAUCGGCCACACUGGAACUGAGACACGGUCCAGACUCCUACGGGAGGCAGCAGUAGGGAAUCUUCCGCAAUGGGCGAAAGCCUGACGGAGCAACGCCGCGUGAGUGAUGAAGGUCUUCGGAUCGUAAAACUCUGUUAUUAGGGAAGAACAUAUGUGUAAGUAACUGUGCACAUCUUGACGGUACCUAAUCAGAAAGCCACGGCUAACUACGUG